GACGAACGCUGGCGGCGUGCUUAACACAUGCAAGUCGAACGGAAAGGCCCUGCUUUUGUGGGGUGCUCGAGUGGCGAACGGGUGAGUAACACGUGAGUAACCUGCCCUUGACUUUGGGAUAACUUCAGGAAACUGGGGCUAAUACCGGAUAGGAGCUCCUGCUGCAUGGUGGGGGUUGGAAAGUUUCGGCGGUUGGGGAUGGACUCGCGGCUUAUCAGCUUGUUGGUGGGGUAGUGGCUUACCAAGGCUUUGACGGGUAGCCGGCCUGAGAGGGUGACCGGGCACAUUGGGACUGAGAUACGGCCCAGACUCCUACGGGAGGCAGCAGUGGGGAAUAUUGCAAGAUGGGCGGAAGCCUGAUGGAGCAACGCCGCGUGCGGGAUGACGGCCUUAGGGUUGUAAACCGCUUUCGCCUGUGACGAAGCGUGAGUGACGGUAAUGGGUAAAGAAGCACCGGCUAACUACGUG
rnacentral:rRNA from 1 species